rnacentral:lncRNA from 1 species
CGUCAGAUGGGAGUAUGAGGAGUGAAAAAAAUUAUAAAACUGAUAACAAAAGAGAUAGUGAGAAAUGUAAAGAAGAAGUGGUAAAUAAAGUGAUUUAUAAAGAUAAUAUAUUAGAAGAACAAAAUAUAAAACAUGUUAAUUUAAAUAUAAAUAAUGGAAAAAAAAAAAAUAUAUAUACAAAGUUUGUCGAUACAACGUCAUUAAAUAAGAUCGACAUGAGUAAUACUACGAAAAAUGUUAAUAGUGUUGACAGUGGUGAUAAUAUAAAAGAGUAUAUGUACAAGUUAAAAAUUAAUUUACUAAUACAAUUAUAUGUAAAUUAUAUUUUAUAUUUAGAAGAUAUGAAUAUAAAAGACAAUGUAUGGAAAGAGUAUUUGAAUUUUUUUAUGACAGAUAAAUAUGAAAAAUUUUAUCAAAAUAUAUUAAAUGUAAUUAAUAAGAAAAUAUUUCAUUUUUCUUGUAUCGAUAUAAUUAAUUUUUUAUAUAUAUUAAAAAGAACGAGAAUUAUAUUAUGUAUUAACGAUUUAAGUUGUUUAGUUCAUAAUUUAAUUUUAGGGAAUUUAAAAUAUUUAGAAAAUGAUAACUUAGUUAAGGUUUCAUAUAUAUAUUUAAAUAACGAUAAUAAAAAGAAGAGUUUUAAUAGUGCUAGUAGUAGUAGUAUCAGUAGUAGUAUCAGUAAUAGUAUCAGUAGUAGUGGUAGUAAUAAACAGUUUUUAGAAACAUUUAUUAAUUAUAUGGAAAACAAAAUAAAAGAUAUGAACAAUAACGAUUUUAUUAAAUUAUUAGUUUAUAUAAAUAAUAAUAAUUAUAAACAUAUCCAAUUUUAUAAAAAUAUUAAAAUAGAAAUAUAUAAAAGGUAUUAUAAUUUUACAGAAGAACAACUGAUAAAAUUAUUUUAUUUAUAUUCUCAAAAUUUGAAUGCUGCUGAUGAUUUUUUAAUGCAGCAAUUUAUGGAUUCAAUUAUAGAUAUAUUUGAUGUAGUAGAUGAUACAUCUAAAAAUAUAGAUACUAGGAUAAACAAUAAAAAUGAUUUAACAACUACUUUAAACAAAAAUUCUACUGAAUGUAAUAAAAAAGAAAAACACAAAUUAACAGUUCCAAUUUCUGUUUUACUUAAUUUAAUAUGGGCAAAUGCGAAACAUUUCAAAAAUAAUAAUUUUGUUUUAAAAAAAUGUGAACAAACAAUAUUAAAAAAUAUCCACAAUUUCAGUUGUAAUACUAUAAGUAUGUUAAUAUGGGCAUAUAGUACAGUUGAAAAUAAAAAUAAAAAUUUAUAUUUUGAUAUUAAGUUGUAUUUUAAGUUAAAAGAAAUAUUUUUUAAAGUAUAUAAAGAUAUGACACCUAAACAGUUGACAAAUAGUAUAUUAGGGUUAUCAACAACUAUUGGGAGAAUUAUAAAUGAUGAAGGGUAUAUUGAUUUGGAUUUGCAUAUACAGAUUGAAGAUUACGUGUUAGGUAGUGGUAGUGGUAGUGGUGGUGGUAAUAAGGGCAGCGGUGGUGGUAGCGAAAAAAAACGUAGUUUUAACUUUUUGUAUAUGUUCACUGGGGAAGAUCUAUCAAAUCUGUGUUUUUCAUAUGCACUAGUUCGAAGUGGAAGUAAAGCAUUCCAUACUUUAAUACAAUCAGCUUUAUUAAAUAAAAUAACUUUUUUAUCACCUCAAGAUAUAACAAAAAUAGCUUAUACAUAUGGGACUUUAUAUUCUUAUGCAUCUUAUACAUUAUUAUGUGCAUUACAAUAUGAAAUAAUACAAAGAAUACAUCAAUUUAAUAUGAAUGAAAUAUGUGACAUAUUAUGGUGUUAUUGUAUAAACAAAUUUUAUGAUGCUAAUUUUUGGAAAUGUUUAUUACAUGUAAUAGAUUUUGACAAAAUAUAUAACCCUCGUUAUUGUCUAUUAUAUGCAUCUUUAUCUUUUAUAAAUUUGAUUGAUCCAUCUAUUUUAGAUUCUUAUAAUGUGCUUAAAAUUUUUAAUUUGUUAAGGGAUUUUUAUUGGGAGGUUCAAAAUUUUACGUACCCACAUAAAUUUGCGAAUGAUGUUUUAGAUACAAUAGACCGAGAAAAUGAUCUAAUUUUGUCAAACAAAAAAAAUGGGUUGUCAAACCAAAAAAAAGAAGACUAUUUUUGUGUUAAUACCCAUCAAUCGAGUAUGAAAACAGAGACAGGUAGUAGUACACCCGAAACAAGUAAUAAAAAAAUGUUUUUUAAAAAUAUACAAAAGGUAUUAGAUUAUGAAGGUUUUUUAAUUGAUAUUUAUUUUGAAUACCAAAAUCAACAAUAUGCUGUUUUUUUAUCUACGCCACUUAAUACAACUAAUAAUGGAUAUCCAUUA